rnacentral:rRNA from 1 species
UAAGGAAUAUUGGUCAAUGGGCGAGAGCCUGAACCAGCCAUGCCGCGUGCAGGAAGACGGCCUUAUGGGUUGUAAACUGCUUUUAUCGGGGAAUAAACCUAUCUACGUGUAGAUAGCUGAAGGUACCCGAAGAAUAAGCAUCGGCUAACUCCGUGCCAGCAGCCGCGGUAAUACGGAGGAUGCAAGCGUUAUCCGGAUUCAUUGGGUUUAAAGGGUGCGCAGGCGGAUUGGUAAGUCAGUGGUGAAAUUCAACGGCUCAACUGUUGAUCUGCCAUUGAUACUGUUGUUCUUGAGUACACUUGGAGUGGGCGGAAUGUGUCAUGUAGCGGUGAAAUGCUUAGAUAUGACACAGAACACCGAUCGCGAAGGCAGCUCACUAAAUUGUAACUGACGCUCAUGCACGAAAGCGUGGGGAUCAAACA